UACGGAGGGGGCUAGCGUUGUUCGGAAUUACUGGGCGUAAAGCGUACGUAGGCGGCUUUGUAAGUUAGAGGUGAAAGCCCGGGGCUCAACUCCGGAAUUGCCUUUAAGACUGCAUCGCUUGAAUCAUGGAGAGGUGAGUGGAAUUCCGAGUGUAGAGGUGAAAUUCGUAGAUAUUCGGAAGAACACCAGUGGCGAAGGCGACUUACUGGACACAUAUUGACACUGAGGUGCGAAAGCGUGGGGAGCAAACAGG
rnacentral:rRNA from 1 species